rnacentral:rRNA from 1 species
AACGAACGCUGGCGGCGCGCCUAAUACAUGCAAGUCGAGCGAGAAGACGUAGCAAUACGUUUGUAAAGCGGCGAACGGGUGAGGAAUACAUGGGUAACCUACCCUCGAGUGGGGAAGUAACUAGCCGAAGGUUAGCUAAUACCGCGUACGCUCCUUGGACUUCGGUUCAGGGAGGAAAGACGAUACCGUGGGUAUCGCGCUCUUGGAUGGGCUCAUGUCCUAUCAGCUUGUUGGUGAGGUAACGGCUCACCAAGGCUUCGACGGGUAGGCUGGUCUGAGAGGACGAUCAGCCACACUGGCACUGCGACACGGGCCAGACUCCUACGGGAGGCAGCAGUAAGGAAUAUUGCGCAAUGGGCGAAAGCCUGACGCAGCGACGCCGCGGUGGGGGAG